AGAGGGUGCGAGCGUUAAUCGGAAUUACUGGGCGUAAAGCGCACGUAGGCGGCUUGGUAUGUCGGGUGUGAAAUCCCCGGGCUCAACCUGGGAACUGCAUCCGAAACUGCCUUGCUAGAGUAUGGGAGAGGGAAGUGGAAUUUCCGGUGUAGCGGUGAAAUGCGUAGAUAUCGGAAGGAACAUCAGUGGCGAAGGCGACUUCCUGGACCAAUACUGACGCUCAGGUGCGAAAGCGUGGGGAGCAAACAGGAUUAGAUACCCUGGUAGUCCACGCCCUAAACGGAUGAGAACUGGAUGUCGGGAGGGUCUGCCUUCCGGUGUCGUAGCUAACGCGUUAAGUUCUCCGCCUGGGAAGUACGGCCGCAAGGUG
rnacentral:rRNA from 1 species